rnacentral:rRNA from 1 species
CCUUUUGUAUAAUGGGUCAGCGACUUAUAUUCUGUAGCAAGGUUAACCGAAUAGGGGAGCCGAAGGGAAACCGAGUCUUAACUGGGCGUUAAGUUGCAGGGUAUAGACCCGAAACCCGGUGAUCUAGCCAUGGGCAGGUUGAAGGUUGGGUAACACUAACUGGAGGACCGAACCGACUAAUGUUGAAAAAUUAGCGGAUGACUUGUGGCUGGGGGUGAAAGGCCAAUCAAACCGGGAGAUAGCUGGUUCUCCCCGAAAGCUAUUUAGGUAGCGCCUCGUGAAUUCAUCUCCGGGGGUAGAGCACUGUUUCGGCAAGGGGGUCAUCCCGACUUACCAACCCGAUGCAAACUGCGAAUACCGGAGAAUGUUAUCACGGGAGACACACGGCGGGUGCUAACGUCCGUCGUGAAGAGGGAAACAACCCAGACCGCCAGCUAAGGUCCCAAAGUCAUGGUUAAGUGGGAAACGAUGUGGGAAGGCCCAGACAGCCAGGAUGUUGGCUUAGAAGCAGCCAUCAUUUAAAGAAAGCGUAAUAGCUCACUGGUCGAGUCGGCCUGCGCGGAAGAUGUAACGGGGCUAAACCAUGCACCGAAGCUGCGGCAGCGACGCUUAUGCGUUGUUGGGUAGGGGAGCGUUCUGUAAGCCUGUGAAGGUGUGCUGUGAGGCAUGCUGGAGGUAUCAGAAGUGCGAAUGCUGACAUAAGUAACGAUAAAGCGGGUGAAAAGCCCGCUCGCCGGAAGACCAAGGGUUCCUGUCCAACGUUAAUCGGGGCAGGGUGAGUCGACCCCUAAGGCGAGGCCGAAAGGCGUAGUCGAUGGGAAACAGGUUAAUAUUCCUGUACUUGGUGUUACUGCGAAGG